GGACGCCACAAGUGUCCCUGGCCGCCUACACCCACUAUACAUCCACAAACCCGUGUGCACUGUCCUUGGAAAGGGCAUUUGGAGAGAAAAAGAAAGAGAAGCGAGAGCAGUGCGAUCCGUCGCGUUGGGCGUUUUCUCUGACUUGGUCUCUCUGAGGCCCUUUCCUUGCUACAAACUCGAAUGGUUAGUAUGAACGUGGAACUUGGUUGGACCGUCACUGGCCAACAAACUAUACACAACUUUCAACAACGGAUCAA
rnacentral:misc_RNA from 1 species